UUGCUCAACAUUGUGACCAUUGUACCAACAGUCAAGGGAGUUGUGGCCAAACUUCAAGCAAUGGUUACAGAAUUCAGGCUUCCAAUCAUACUCCACCCUUUGAAUAUUCAAUCCAAAAGGAGUUUCAAUUUCAAUUUCCUCAAGCAAGGUGUAGGCAGCAUCAACCUCAACCAGAACUCUGGCAAAGGAGAUCUUCUCAAAAUGGGUUGUGAUUUUGUCAGUAUACAGAGGCUUACCAAUUGCACUAGCUAAUUUGCUAAGAAUUUCUGAUGACCAAUAUCCCACUGGUAAGCCA
rnacentral:lncRNA from 1 species